rnacentral:rRNA from 1 species
GAUGAACGCUGGCGGCGUGCCUAAUACAUGCAAGUCGAGCGAACAGACGAGGAGCUUGCUCCUCUGACGUUAGCGGCGGACGGGUGAGUAACACGUGGAUAACCUACCUAUAAGACUGGGAUAAAUUCGGGAAACCGGAGCUAAUACCGGAUAAUAUAUUGAACCGCAUGGUUCAAUAGUGAAAGACGGUUUUGCUGUCACUUAUAGAUGGGUCCGCGCCGCAUUAGCUAGUUGGUAAGGUAACGGCUUACCAAGGCAACGAUGCGUAGCCGACCUGAGAGGGUGAUCGGCCACACUGGAACUGAGACACGGUCCAGACUCCUACGGGAGGCAGCAGUAGGGAAUCUUCCGCAAUGGGCGAAAGCCUGACGGAGCAACGCCGCGUGAGUGAUGAAGGUCUUCGGAUCGUAAAACUCUGUUAUUAGGGAAGAACAAAUGUGUAAGUAACUAUGCACGUCUUGACGGUACCUAAUCAGAAAGCCACGGCUAACUACGUG